UGUGCUAUAAUUGUAAAGUUGAUUUUUAUCAACCCUUGGUGCUUAGCUUCUUUCACCAAGCAUAUUAGAUGCGGGAUAGCCGCUAAAGGAGAAAACAUG
rnacentral:ncRNA from 2 species